rnacentral:rRNA from 1 species
CACGUAGGGUGCGAGCGUUGUCCGGAAUUAUUGGGCGUAAAGAGCUCGUAGGCGGUGUGUCGCGUCGGCCGUGAAAACCUGCAGCUUAACUGUGGGCUUGCGGUCGAUACGGGCAUCACUGGAGUUCGGCAGGGGAGACUGGAAUUCCUGGUGUAGCGGUGAAAUGCGCAGAUAUCAGGAGGAACACCGGCGGCGAAGGCGGGUCUCUGGGCCAUAACUGACGCUGAGGAGCGAAAGCGUGGGGAGCGAACAGG